GUUUGUAUCUCGUGCGUGGUAGUAGUUAGGAUUAAUAGCCUAACUAGCUAUAUGCACGUAGUCGUAACUGAAAGGUUGAUCGACCACAGUGGGCCUGAAGAAAACCCAUGACGACUGUCACAGCAGUGAGGAAUCUUGGUCAAUAGCCUAACGGCUGAACCAGCAACUUGGAUGAUAAUGACAUUGUCUGCCUAUGUGUCUUGACCAAAUUACGUGCCAGCAGUCGCGGUAAUACGUAGAAGACUAGUGUUAUUCAUAUUUAAUCGGUUUAAAGGGUACCUAGACGGUAAAUCAAGCUUGAAAAGAAAGGAACUAAUUUACUAGAGUUACUUACGAGGGGGUUAUAAAGUACUGCUGGUGUAGAGAUGAAAUUCUGUCAUACCUAUCUUCGAAAGAAUAACGACGGCACAGGUAUAGGCGAAAGCAUCCCCUUAUGUGAUAACUGACGUUGAGGGACGAAGGCUAUUUGUAGCGAACAGGAUUAGAUACCCCAGUAGUUGUAGCAGAAAAUGAUGAAUGUCAUAGAUUAGAUAAAUAAGUUUAUUCUAUAAAUGAAAGUG
rnacentral:rRNA from 1 species